AUGGCUUUUGUUCUCCCUCAUCUGCUCUUCCUUCUCUUCCCUCUCUUCCUGCUCCUGCCCUUCUCUGUCAUUGCUCAAACUAAUGGUAACAUUAGUGUGGGUAGUACUCUCACUGCAGGUGAAGAGUCUGCUUGGUGGCUUUCACCUUCCAAUGAUUUUGCAUUGGGGUUUCAAAAACUUGACAAUGAUCACUUCUUGCUUGCCAUAUGGUGUCACAAGAUACCUCAGAAAACCAUAGUUUGGUAUGCAAAUGAAGGCAACCCUUCUCAGAGAAAAUCAAAAGUAGAGCUAACCGACCAAGGCCUUCUGCUGAGACCCCCACAAGGAGAUCAACAACUAUUGACAGAAUUUCCAGCUGCUGCAAUAGCCUAUGGUGUAAUGAACGACACAGGAAACUUUAUGAUUGUUGAUACAAGUUUUAGAGUCAUUUGGGAGACCUUUGACAAUCCAACUGAUACCUUUUUACCUACUCAGACAAUGGAGAUAGGUGGCUUGCUUUAUUCUAGAUAAACAGAAACUGACUUCUCAAGGGGAAGAUACCAAUUUCAGAUGCUUCGUAAUGGUGAUGCUGUGCUCAACCCCAUAAAUGUUCCAGGUAAAUAUACUUAUGACGCAUAUUAUAUCAGCGGCAGUCGUGACGAAGCAAAUGAUACAAAUUCCGGUUACAAGGUCAUCUUUGAUCAGUCAGGCUACUUGUACAUAUUGCGAAGAAGUGGAGAGAGAUUUUUUAUUACAACACCGGGACAGGCACUCUCACCUACGAGGUAUUAUGUCAGAGCAACUCUCCAUUUUGAUGGGGUUUUCAUCAUAAGUUACCAACCGAAGAAUUCUACAACUAGUGAAAGCUGGAGUGUCAUCCACACUGAACCAGAUAAUGUUUGUGUGAAAAUAGCUGGAGAACUCGGAAUAGGGCCAUGCGGUUAUAAUAGUGUUUGUACACUUAAAGAAGAUAGAAGGCCAAGUUGGAGAUGCCCAGUGGGGUAUUCUUUAUUGAAUCCAACUGAUGAGUACAGCAGUUGCAAGGCAGCUUUCCUGCAGCAAGUAUGCGAAGAUGGUGGAGGGCGGGGUUCUGAAAGAGAUUUGUACUACAUGGAUGAGCUUCCAAAUACUGAUUUUCCAAGAUCAGAUUAUGAGUUGUUUACAUCUUAUAAUGUUGAAGCCUGCAAAACAUCUUGCUUGGAAGAUUGUCUAUGUGCUGCAGCUGUUUCUAGAGACAACAGAUGUUGGAAGAAAAAACUACCACUUUCAAAUGGAAGACAGGAUAGUGGAGUUAACGGUAAGACUUUCCUUAAAUUAAGGAGUAGUGGUACCCUCCAAAGCCCAACUCCUCCAUUACCUCCAAAGGCAAAGAAUCAGAACACUUUGAUCAUUGUGGGAUCAGCACUCUUGGGUAGUUCUGUGUUUGGCAAUUUCAUAUUGGUUGGUGCAAUUUGCUUGGGUUUCUUCUUCUACUACCAGAAGAAGCUCACGGGAACUCACCAGGACAAAGCUUCAGGGGGAAGCAAUUUGCGCUACUUUACCUACAAAGAGCUCAUAGAAGCAACACAAGGGUUCAAUGAAGAGCUGAGAAGGUGAUCAUGUGGCAUUGUUUACAAGGGGAAAACUAAUCAUGCAGGAGGACCCGUACUUGCUGUCAAGGUGUUGGACAGAGUAUUUAACGACAAGGAAAAAGAAUUCAAAGCUGAAGUCAAGGUCAUAGGCCAAACACAUCACAAGAAUCUUGUCAGACUUCUAGGAUAUUGUGAUGAGGGACCGCACAGGUUGCUGGUAUAUGAGUACUUGAGCAAUGGCACUUUGGCCAGCUUCCUUUUCGGGAAUGAUGUCAAGCCCAGUUGGCAACAAAGAAGCCACAUUGCAUUUGGGAUUGCUAGAGGGCUCGUUUACAUGCAUGAAGAAUGCAGCACACAGAUCAUCCAUUGUGAUAUAAAGCCUCAGAAUAUACUUCUUGAUGAAUAUUACAACGCUCAAAUAUCUGACUUUGGAUUGGCAAAGCUGCUCAAUCAAACCCAAGCUUCUAAAACAGCAAUCAGAGGAACUAAAGGGUAUGUUGCACCUGAUUGGUUCAGGUCUGAACCAGUCUCUGUGAAGGUUGAUGUGUAUAGUUUUGGCGUCUUGCUUCUAGAAAUUGUUUGUUGCCAGAGAAACGUGGAUGUGGAAGUUGGCGGUGGAGAGAGGGGAGUUUUAAUUGACUGGGCAUAUGACUUCUAUUUGGAAAGCAGAUUAGAUGCUCUGAUUAAAAAUGACAUGGAGGCCAUGAAUGAUAUGAACAAAGUUGAUGGUGGCCAUUUGGUGCAUCCAAGAAGACCCUGCAGUGAGACCUACCAAGAAGAAGGUUAUGCUGAUGCUUGAAGGAAUAGUUCAAGUUUCAGUUCCCCCAAGUCCUUUCCCAUUUAGUUCCAUUAGCGGAAACAAAAACAAGAAAAAGAAAAAAAAAAAAUUGUAAAGUCAGGUUUCAAACUUUGAACAGAAACAGAUGUUAUGAUGCUAUCAAGCCCUUGUGAUAGAUGAUUCUUUGUGGUGAAUGCCACAAUGAAAAUA